rnacentral:rRNA from 1 species
GACGAACCACACGAACGUUAUUCGGAAUUACUGGGCUUAAAGGGUGCGUAGGCGGCGCGGUAAGUAGGGUGUGAAAUCCCUCGGCUCAGCCGAGGAACUGCGCUCUAAACUACCGUGCUCGAGGGAGAUAGAGGUGAGCGGAACUUAGGGUGGAGCGGUGAAAUGCGUUGAUAUCCUAAGGAACACCGGUGGCGAAAGCGGCUCACUGGAUCUCUUCUGACGCUGAGGCACGAAAGCUAGGGUAGCGAACGGG